rnacentral:rRNA from 1 species
UCGAGAAUCUUCGGCAAUGGGCGCAAGCCUGACCGAGCGAUGCCGCGUGCGGGAUGAAGGCCUUCGGGUUGUAAACCGCUGUCGAGGGGGAGCAACUUCCAUAGAGUUAUCUUUAUGGAUUGAGUGAUCCCUGGAGGAAGGACGGGCUAAGUUCGUGCCAGCAGCCGCGGUAAGACGAACCGUCCAAACGUUAUUCGGUAUCACUGGGCUUAAAGAGUUCGUAGGCGGCUAAACAGGUGAGGUGUGAAAGCCCUCGGCUCAACCGAGGAACUGCGCUUCAAACCGUUUAGCUAGAGGAAGACAGAGGUGAGCGGAACUGAUGGUGGAGCGGUGAAAUGCGUUGAUAUCAUCAGGAACACCGGUGGCGAAAGCGGCUCACUGGGUCUUUUCUGACGCUGAGGAACGAAAGCUAGGGGAGCGAACGGG